rnacentral:rRNA from 1 species
UACGUAGGGUGCGAGCGUUGCCCGGAUUUAUUGGGCGUAAAGGGCGCGUAGGCGGUCACGCACGUCCGUUGUGAAAUCGCUCUGCUCAACUGGGCGGGGUCAGCGGAUACGGCGUGGCUGGAGCAAGCUAGGGGGCAAUGGAAUUCCCGGUGUAGUGGUGGAAUGCGUAGAUAUCGGGAGGAACACCAGUGGCGAAGGCGGUUGCCUGGAGCUUUGCUGACGCUGAUGCGCGAAAGCGUGGGUAGCAAACAGG